rnacentral:tRNA from 1 species
GCCUUCAUGGUGUAGUGGUCAGCACACUUAACGUGUAUUCGAGAGGUUUGUGGUUCGAGUCCCGGUGAAGGCG